rnacentral:rRNA from 1 species
UGGGGAAUAUUGGACAAUGGGGGCAACCCUGAUCCAGCCAUGCCGCGUGUGUGAAGAAGGUCUUCGGAUUGUAAAGCACUUUAAGUUGGGAGGAAGGGCAGUUACCUAAUACGUGAUUGUUUUGACGUUACCGACAGAAUAAGCACCGGCUAACUCUGUGCCAGCAGCCGCGGUAAUACAGAGGGUGCAAGCGUUAAUCGGAAUUACUGGGCGUAAAGCGCGCGUAGGUGGUUUGUUAAGUUGGAUGUGAAAUCCCCGGGCUCAACCUGGGAACUGCAUUCAAAACUGACAAGCUAGAGUAUGGUAGAGGGUGGUGGAAUUUCCUGUGUAGCGGUGAAAUGCGUAGAUAUAGGAAGGAACACCAGUGGCGAAGGCGACCACCUGGACUGAUACUGACACUGAGGUGCGAAAGCGUGGGGAGCAAACAGGAUUAGAUACCCCCGUAGUCCCUGAGCGGGCUGGCAAGGCGCAU